GACAGAGGGUGCAAACGUUGUUCGGAUUUACUGGGCGUAAAGGGCGCGUAGGCGGCCACCGCAAGUCGACUGUGAAAUCUCCGGGCUUAACUCGGAAAGGUCAGCCGAUACUGCGGGGCUAGAGUGCAGAAGGGGCAACUGGAAUUCUCGGUGUAGCGGUGAAAUGCGUAGAUAUCGAGAGGAACACCUGCGGCGAAGGCGGGUUGCUGGGCUGACACUGACGCUGAUUGUGCGAAAGCUAGGGGAGCGAACGGG
rnacentral:rRNA from 1 species